AACCGAAACAACUGCGGAGACUUUAUCACCGCUUCUGUACAACUGUAGAUCCGAAUUAGAGCUUCUUGGUCAUGCCUUUUCAGGAAACUGAAAAGGGCUGCAGGCUUCAGGCCGCGAGAGGCCCAGGUUACCGCCAGAAUAUUUAUUGGCCCCAAAGCCCCGCGUGUUUCGGACAGAAUGGUCCCUGCUUUGCACUGAGGACCUGGGGGUUGGAAGCGUUUUCUUUCUCAAUGAACUACCACAGUAAAUCUGUACUCCACAACUUAAAGGGCUCUCGUAUCUUUUCUGACCAGAAUUGGAUGCAAUGAUUGACUGUGACCUCACCAGAUCUUUAUCAAGGUUCAGCAUCUUUUCCGGUCCCAAUGCACUGCCGCCGAUGUUGGAAUUUGGGAUCUCGGGGUUUAUGCUCCCAUCCCAGAAUGCGAUUUUUGAAGUCCUGUUGGUCCCUCUGGAUUACCACACCGAGAGCCUGGAUGAAGACUUGGGACUGUGUGGGUUUGUACGUUUGGGUUGAGUCAGCUGAUGCGCAAAUGGUUCAUGUACGGGAUGGCCUUCCGGAGGAAGUACUGGGUGCGGGUAUCGUUACAGCAUUUAAAAGGCAAUUGGGUUUGAUUCCCCGUCAAGAAAUGAGGAUCCAUGGUUCCUGUAUAAACUGUUAAAAUGAACAAGAAUUCCUGACAUUAAGAACAUCAAAGAACUUGAGGAAGACCGUUUGGAAGGGUAGUAAUCAGCUGACGUGUGCAAUGCUCCAGUUUCACAGGAAGAACGAGGUGAGGCAGUGUAAACUGCAGAGUGACCAUGAAACAAUGGGAGAGGAACAAGGGAGCGGACAUAUGCUUCCUUCCUUUGCUCUAUCCAGACUCUGGGUUUGAAGUCUGAAGUGCGACAAUAUAAGCCAAGUGGGUGAAAUCCUUGCUUCCUGGGGGUCGGUUUCUUGCUGAGGCUUCAGUCACUCUCGUGGAAACGUGUCCAUGUAUUUCCCUCUGUAGGUGAAAAUAAGGUUCAGCUCCUGAGGGGGUGUGAAGGCAGUUUGACCAUCUCAAACUUCAAUCCCAUUUAUUGUGUCAUUUGAGAUUAAAAUAUUACAGCGAAAGUAUUAUUGAGAUGAAGACCUGAAACAUCAGAGCACACAAGGUUACAGUCCAAGCGCUGGAAACUGGGAUGAUGGGCCUCGUUUGUAAUUCAAAACCCGAUGAGUCGAUCAUUUUGGAGGAGAAUUUGCACUGAGAAACAAAGUCAACAUCUGUGUCAUUAAAAAACGAGAGAAAUAUUUCUGUUGUCAUGCUUGCUGGUCUAGUGGUUAGGAUUCGGUGCUUUGGUUAAAAAAAAAAGUGGCCUGGGUUUGAUUCCCAGUGAGUAAAUCAGAAUUUAUUGUUCCUGACAGUGACAACAGCAAAAAGCUGAGCAGACCUGAUGAGAAACUGCUCAAUGCCUCGGAUCAGGUAAUAUCCCUGAGAACAUCAGAGUUAAUGUCCCAGCCUUGUUAAAAAGGCGAAGGUGCCUUGACUCUGCUCACUUGGACAAUUCACCUUUCAUUCUCAUCUGAUUUCGCUUCCCCAAAAGUUCCCAAAGCCAAAACAUGGCUUUAUGUUUCAUCUCCUUUUCAUUCCCAGAAAACGGGUCAGUGAGUUUGGGAAACUGCAAGGGGCUUCUCAGCAGUUUGAGAUUAUUUCGGCUUCCUCUCCUCUGGUGACCCUGGUGUUUUCAGUGAUAUUUACUGACGAAAUACAGUGAAAGAAUCCCCGUUCCUGCAGAUCAGCAAUUCAAACCUCAUCAAGGUUUCAGGACAACUAGAAAGGUGAGUUUGGAGGUAUGAAGACGUGUGUGAAUUACGCUCAAGCCAGAGAAGGAACCAAACCUACAAUCUCCUGAGUGGCAGUCAAACACAUUAUCCAUUGUGGUUGUGGUGAUAAUAUGGCCAGGUAGCAUUCACAAGACGAACAGCCAGUGAAAGAUAAUCGCCAUCACUGCUUCAAUUCAACUGUCCCCAUUUCGCGAAGCAGGGAAUUUCACAGGUAAAGGAAACACAUUUUCCCUGAGGAGGCUGCUUCCGUGUCGCCUCUUUUGUAUCAUUUUAUUCACAGUCACACUGCUAUUCUAUGACCAACUCCAAGUGAAGUGCGCACUCAUGAUUUGUGUUAUGGUGCCUUUGAGUCAAGGCCCUGAAAAAACACAACAAAAUCAGCAAGAAGCUCCUGGCCAUUUCUAGCCUGGCUCUGGAAUUAGACGAGUUGAACCAUAUCUUUAUGAGUGCCGUCUCUUUACUGCAGCCUCAGAACAGGCACGUAUUAGCAUGAGCCUGUUCUCUAUCUUCCUGCAGUACAUCUGCUGAUCACCUUCAGGUUAUCACAGCUCGACUUUCUCCACAUCGAAACUCGAAUGACAUUAUGAAAUGUUUCGAAGUUUAGAGAGAGAAGCAUUUCAGGUGAAAGUAGUUCUGAUGUGAAGAAAUGACACAAGGAUGUGUGCAAAUCAGGUCACAAGGGUUACUCUCAGCAACACUAGUGUUCUAGCGGUUAGGAUUCAGGACUUGCAUCAACCAGGCUGGGACACAAUUCCCAGUCAGGAAAUGAAGAUUUAUUUCUCUGCUUGUGGACUACCUGGAUUAAAAUGGAUUCUUGAUUACAAAGUAGGGUCUAGGCCUGAAACAUCAGCUUUCUGAUGCUGCUUGGCCUGCUGUGUUCGUCCAGUUCUACACCUUGU